UACGUAGGGUGCGAGCGUUAAUCGGAAUUACUGGGCGUAAAGCGCAUGUAGGCGGCCGCACAGGUCGGAAUGUGAAAUCCCUCGGCUCAACCGAGGACGUGCAUUCGAAACCGUGCGGCUCGAGUCCUGGAGAGGGUCGUGGAAUUCUCGGCGUAGAGGUGAAAUUCGUAGAUAUCGGGAGGAACACCGGCGGCGAAAGCGGCGACCUGGACAGAGACUGACGCUGAGGAUGCGAAAGCGUGGGGAGCAAACAGG
rnacentral:rRNA from 1 species